GCCUGAGUGGGUUGUUGGGUGACGGGGACGCCUGAUGAUUCGACCUUAGGUCGGGACUCGGUUCUCCACUCGACUGCGGGAUCGGGAGGCCACUCGCGUCAGUGUCUGACUUCCUUUACCCUUCGCUAACCUAGAGGCAGCUUCCCCGGCUCCAGCCUUAGCCCUUUGCUGAGCCUGCGCGGCGUUCCGGUCUCUACUGGACAGACCCGCCUUCCCGGCAGCGGGCUAGGCCUGCUCUCCGCGCUGCUGGCCCCUCGGAAAACAUAACUUUUUGUUUACUUCAAACUGAUUUUACAACACGCUGCCCCCCCGCCUCCCCCG
rnacentral:lncRNA from 10 species